rnacentral:rRNA from 1 species
AUUGAACGCUGGCGGCAGGCUUAACACAUGCAAGUCGAGCGAGCGGCGGACGGGUGAGUAAUGUCUGGGAAACUGCCUGAUGGAGGGGGAAAACUACUGGAAAAGGUAGCUAAUACCGCAUACAAUCAGAUGUGCCCAGAUGGGAUUAGCUAGUAGGUGGGGUAAUGGCUCACAGAGGCGACGAUACGUAGCGGGUCUGAGAGGAUGACCAGCCACACUGGAACUGAGACACGGUCCAGACUCCUCCGGGAGGCAGCAGUGGGGAAUAUUGCACAAUGUGCGCAAUCCUGAUGCAGCCAUGCCGCGUGUGUGAAGAAGGCCUUCGGGUUGUAAAGCACGUUCAGCGAGGAGGCGUUACUCGCAGAAGAAGCACCGGCUAACUCCGUGCCAGCCGCCGCGGUAAUUC